GGUUGAGGCGGUGCUCGCCGGCGCCGGUGAUGGUGAUGAGGUGCACGCGGCCUCGCCUCUCGACGGUGCACAGGUCCUUGUUGGUCGCCAUUGGUGGGUGAUUUGGGGAUGCAGCAGCCGUGACACUGUGUUCCGACAAGUCUACUCCGUAUGCUGUUUGCUUUUUAUCUUUGGGUUCAAUUCUUUUUUAACUCGUUUUUUUUUAAUUUUUUAUGAUCGAUCAGAGUUUGAGACAAGCGUCCUAUGUGAUGCAUACUAUAUGGGCUAUGGCGGCUAACUUUCCACGUGAGACGCGCUCAAGAAAAAAACUUUCCACGUGAGACGAGGCGAUGGACGAUAAAACUGAAGAAAGAUGUUCUUCAAUCUUUGAGCCAUAAAGAAUACACACAGUGUGACUUUUAAACCGAUGUUGAAACGUUCUCUCGUAGCACAGAUGAUUCUACUCUAUUUGCUUUGAUGCCUUUGAGAUCAAUUCUUUUUUAAUAACUAUAAUUAAAGAUCAGUUUUUAAAUAGAGUUUGAGACGAGCGUCCUAUGCGAUGCACAUGACGAAUAACUUCCUUUCCAAGACGAGG
rnacentral:lncRNA from 1 species